rnacentral:lncRNA from 1 species
GAACAGUUGGGUGAUAUUUUUAUCUAUAUUUGACCGUACGGGGAAAAGAUCAAAAGCUGAAACCAUGUCUAGGAAAUACGAGGUUACAAACAAGGUAUUUUCAAAGAAAGGAAAUUUGGUGAGACACAAACGAACACAUACUGGAGAGAAACCUUAUGAAUGUGAUGUUUGCAACAAAAGAUUUUCACAGUCAAGCGAUUUAACCGUUCAUAAGAGAACACAUACUGGAGAGAAACCUUAUGAAUGCGAUGUUUGCAAUAAAAGAUUUUCUAAGUUAAGCAAUUUAACCGUUCAUAAGAGAACACACACUGGAGACAAACCUUUUGAAUGUGAUGUUUGUAAAAAAAGAUUUUCCCGAUCAAACAACUUGGCUUUACAUAAAAGAACACACACUGGAGAAAAACCUUAUGAAUGUGAUGUUUGCAAGAAACGAUUUUCACGCUCUAGCCACUUAGCAGUUCAUAAGAAAACACACACUGGAGACACACCUUAUGAAUGUGAUGUUUGCAACAAAAGAUUUUCGCGAUCCAAAGGCUUAGCAGUUCAUAAGAGAACACAUACUGGAGAAAAACCUUAUGAAUGUGAUGUUUGCAACAAACGAUUUUCAUACUCAAGUCACUUAGCGGUUCAUAAGAG